rnacentral:snRNA from 1 species
GUGCUCGCUUUGGCAGCACAUAUACUAAAAUUGGAACGAUACAGAGAAGAUUAGCAUGGCCCCUGCACAAGGAUGACACGCAAAUUCGUGAAGCAUUCCAUAUUUUA